rnacentral:rRNA from 1 species
UGGGGAAUAUUGCACAAUGGGGGAAACCCUGAUGCAGCGACGCCGCGUGAGCGAAGAAGUAUUUCGGUAUGUAAAGCUCUAUCAGCAGGGAAGAAAAAGGACGGUACCUGACUAAGAAGCCCCGGCUAACUACGUGCCAGCAGCCGCGGUAAUACGUAGGGGGCAAGCGUUAUCCGGAUUUACUGGGUGUAAAGGGAGCGUAGACGGCAGUGCAAGUCUGAAGUGAAAGCCCGCGGCUCAACUGCGGAACUGCUUUGGAAACUGUACUGCUUGAGUACCGGAGGGGUAAGCGGAAUUCCUAGUGUAGCGGUGAAAUGCGUAGAUAUUAGGAGGAACACCGGUGGCGAAGGCGGCUUACUGGACGGUAACUGACGUUGAGGCUCGAAAGCGUGGGGAGCAAACAGG